rnacentral:misc_RNA from 1 species
GAAAUAUUGUCAUAAGCUGUUCUAGAAUUUUCAUCAACUCUUAGGGCUUUUUCAAUAACAAUUUCACUGGAUACUGAUGACUUAUCAAUAGGUUCCUCAGAGACUGAGCAAUUAGUUAAGUCAGGAAAUGACAGCAGCGGUGACAUAUCUGGCACCGAUUCCAUACUUUUGACGCUUACUUUGUUCGCAAAUAAAGAGAGAUUAUCUGCCAAUAAAGGCAUGUCAUCCCUAUCAAGCACAUAAUGACAGCUUUCAUGACUUUCUGGGGCCAAUUUUUGGUCUAUUCCAACAGAGGAACCUUGGUCAUCGCUUACUCUAUCAACCAUUUUUAGCGUCUCAAUGGAUACAACUGAAGUUGUAGUUUCUUGUCCCACUGCUCCCAGUUGAGAAUUG